GGCCCGUUGGUCAAGCGGUUAAGACACCGCCCUUUCACGGCGGUAACACGGGUUCGAAUCCCGUACGGGUCAC
rnacentral:tRNA from 23 species